GAUGAAGAACGUAGCGAAAUGCGAUAAGUAAUGUGAAUUGCAGAAUUCAGUGAAUCAUCGAAUCUUUGAACGCACAUUGCGCCCGCCAGUAUUCUGGCGGGCAUGCCUGUCCGAGCGUCAUUUCAACCCUCGAACCCCUCCGGGGGGUCGGCGUUGGGGAUCGGCCCUUUACGGGGCCGGCCCCGAAAUACAGUGGCGGUCUCGCCGCAGCCUCUCCUGCGCAGUAGUUUGCACACUCGCAUCGGGAGCGCGGCGCGUCCACAGCCGUUAAACACCCCAAACUUCUGAAAUGUUGACCUCGGAUCAGGUAGGAAUACCCGCUGAACUUAAGCAUAUCAAUAAGCGGAGG
rnacentral:misc_RNA from 1 species